rnacentral:rRNA from 1 species
UAUUAUUAAAAAUGUAAAAUUUAAAUACUAAAUUAGUAUUAGUUAUGUUCUUGAAAAUUAAAGAUUCUGGCGGUAUUUUAGUCUAUUCAGAGGAACCUGUUCUGUAAUUGAUAGUCCACGAUUUAAUUUACUUUUUUUAAAAAUUUAUAUAUCGUCGUAAUUUGAAUAUUUUAAAAGAAUAUUUAAUAUUCAUCGUAUUUUUAAAAUAGUAAAUCAGAUCAAGGUAUAGUUUAUAAAAAAGGAGAAAUGGGUUACAAUAAAUUUAUUUAAGGAUUAUUUUUUGUAAUGAUUAUAUUAAUUUGGAUUUGAUAGUAAUUUAAUUUAGAUUAUUUAAAUGAUUGAAGCUCUAAAAUAUGUACAUAUC